rnacentral:rRNA from 1 species
UACUGUGAAACUGCGAAUGGCUCAUUAAAUCAGUUAUCGUUUAUUUGAUAGUGCCCUUUACUACUUGGAUAACCGUGGUAAUUCUAGAGCUAAUACAUGCAUAAAGCCCCGACUUUCGAAGGGGUGUAUUUAUUAGAUAAAAAACCAAUGCCCUCCGGGGCUGCUUGGUGAAUCAUGAUAACGCAACGAAUCGCAUGGCCUUGCGCCGGCGAUGGUUCAUUCAAAUUUCUGCCCUAUCAACUUUCGAUUGUAGUUUAGUGGACUACAAUGGUUUCAACGGGUAACGGGGAAUUAGGGUUCGACUCCGGAGAGGGAGCCUGAGAAACGGCUACCACAUCCAAGGAAGGCAGCAGGCGCGCAAAUUACCCAAUCCCGACACGGGGAGGUAGUGACAAUAAAUACUGAUACAGGGCUCUUUUGGGUCUUGUAAUUGGAAUGAGUACAAUUUAAAUCCCUUAACGAGGAACAAUUGGAGGGCAAGUCUGGUGCCAGCAGCCGCGGUAAUUCCAGCUCCAAUAGCGUAUAUUAAAGUUGUUGCAGUUAAAAAGCUCGUAGUUGAACCUUGGGCCUGGCUGACCGGUCCGCCUCACCGCGUGCACUGGUUCGGCCGGGCCUUUCCUUCUGCGGAACGGCAUGCCCUUCACUGGGCGUGUCUCGGGAAGCAGGACUUUUACUUUGAAAAAAUUAGAGUGUUCAAAGCAGGCCUUUGCUCGAAUACAUUAGCAUGGAAUAAUAGAAUAGGACGGCGCUCCUAUUUUGUUGGUUUCUAGGAGAGCCGUAAUGAUUAAUAGGGACAGUUGGGGGCAUCCGUAUUCAGUUGUCAGAGGUGAAAUUCUUGGAUUUACUGAAGACGAACUACUGCGAAAGCAUUUGCCAAAGAUGUUUUCAUUAAUCAGUGAACGAAAGUUAGGGGAUCGAAGACGAUCAGAUACCGUCGUAGUCUUACCAUAAACUAUGCCGACUAGGGAUCGGGCGAUGUUAUUGUAUUGACUCGCUCGGCACCUUUCGAGAAAUCAAAGUGUUUGGGUUCUGGG